ACGACGCGUCAGUUAUGGUCAGUUAGCUGUGAUAGUAUCUUGGGGCUCCCGUGUGCAAUCUGUAGUGAGCCACAUAAAAUAGGACGACACAGUUAUAGCACUGUAUAUGCUAUAUAAUUGUGCGUUUGCUGUUAAAACUUCAACAAUUAAAACUUAAAACUAUUUGCUUAAAGUGAACCAUCGGCCUACUUAAAAGCGCGAUGAGCAUCUCACAAAUGAGUGCGUCACCAAUGCGAGGACAAUUCUCCACUUCCUGCUCGUUUGAAGCAGCAACCUCUGAUGGCCUCGCUCUCAUUACCUUCGAACCAUUUGCAGUUGACCUGGAGGUGGGCGCCACUGUCGAGAUGACCGCAGAAGAGGAGCCCACCCCGGACCGGCCGGCGUCGGCCAGCCGUGUCGGCAGCGACGGCGAGAGCGACUCGAACGACGAGGCCGAGAGCGAGCUCACCAUCGACAUGGACGCCGACGUGGCCGGCGACUCGCCGUGCCAGAACAACAACGUCAGCGAGGAGCGCAAGAUCCAGGAGUACAUGAGCCGCAAGGACACGGCCGUCAUCUUCCCCGAGCCGGUCGGACCGGCCGCGAAGGAGGACGGCGAGGACGGGAAGGAAGUAUGGGCGCUGAAGCAGGGCCUGGCGAGCCAGCAGGCGGGUCUGGCUGGUGCGCCCCAGCUGACCUCUCCGCUCGGCCACAUGUGCCAGACCUGCGGCAUGACGUUCCCCUCCAAGGAGAAGCUCGAGGUGCACGAGGUGGGCCACGGCCCGCCCACGCAGGUGUCGUGUCACGUGUGCAACAAGACGUUUGCGCACAUUUACGGACUGCAGCGUCACAUGAUCAGCCACGAGGAAUCGGCCAACGUGCGCAAGUUCAAAUGCGACAUCUGCAGCAAGGCUUUCAAGUUCAAACAUCACCUGAAGGAGCACACACGGAUACAUAGCGGAGAGAAGCCAUACGUCUGCAACGACUGCGGUAACCGGUUCUCCCACUCGGGCUCCUACUCGUCCCACCGCUCGUCCAAGAAGUGUCGCGGCCGCUCUCUGCAGCAGAGCCAGACCAGCAAGGGCUCGCCGGCGCCGCUGCGCUUCGAGAGCCUGCCGUUCUCGCUGUACGGCGGCGGACAGGCGAGCGCAGUGACCGUCUCGGCCACCGGCCUGCCGCCCCCGCCCCCGCCCCCGCCCGAGCAGACAGCCGCGGCGGCGGCGGCGGCACAGCGGCUCAGCGACGAGGAGAUGCAGCGCAGCGUGCAGAAAAUGGUCGACUCGGUGAAGAGCCGGAUGGCCGGCGAGGUGUUCCGCGAGAGGGUGGAACAGAGCUCGAGCCGGCCCGGCUCGGCGGCGCCCGCCUCCCCCCGGCAGCAGGACGAGUCUGACCAGCCGCCGCAGCACCAGCCGCAGGAGGAGAGACACCAGCCCGCCGAGACGGCCACCCACGCGCCGGCGACGCAGACCUCAGCCUCGGAGACGUCGCUGUCGGUCACCGAGACACCGGCGAAGGCGGCCGAGAUGAGGACGUCGGCGGCGGCGUCACCGGCGCCGGCGGUCACCCCGAAACUCGAGGUCGGCGUGAAGGCGGAUGAGGGCGCGGAGGCGGACGCCUUGCCGGAGAGCCGCGCUGACGACUGGCUGCAGUGCCGCUCGUGCUCGCGCAGUUUCGCCGAGCGGCGCGAGCUGGCGCAGCACGAGCAGCUGUGUCGCGCCGACGUACCCGAGGGUGAGCGGCUCAGCGAGGGGCUGGCGGCGCGCCUCAGCGAGCUGAUGGCCAAACAGAAGGCGCCCGUCACCGCCGAGGAGCAGCCAGCCAGCGACAACGACAACGAGUCGUCGCAGCACAGCGACGACGCUCAGAAACAGCGAGUUCGCUACAAGUUCUCAGACGAGCAGCUGCUGGUGCUGCGUACGAGCUACAUCAUCAACUCCAAGCCGCGCCGUGAGGACGUCAACCGGAUCUCGGAGCGUCUGUCCAUCUCGCCGGAGGUGGUGCGCGUCUGGUUCCAGAACACCCGCGCCCGGGACAAGCGCGAGGGCAAGCCGUUCGCGCUGCCGUGCUUUCCGCCGGGCCUGGUGCGGCCGGCCGCCGCCGUGGAGCGGCCACCGCUGCCCGUCUACUCGGCCGUGCCCAUGUUCUACUCGGCGCUGCCGCAGCUGCUGGCGCCGCCCACCCCUCCCGAGGACUGCGAGCAGCCGCUGGACCUGUCCACCAAACGCAGCACGGCCGGCAGCGCCUCGCCGCCGCCGGCCAGCGAACCCUCGUCGCGAGCCUCAACGCCGGCGACGGUGGCGGUCCCUGGCGAGCGGCCGUCGUACCGACAGUCCCCGGCUGUCCCCAGCCUGCCGCUGAGGGACGGCUCGUGCUCGCCGCACUCGCCCGCGGCACACUCCCUGACGGCCGACGGCACACCGCCGCCACCGCCAGUGACGUCAGAAGGCGGACCGAUGACGUCAGCGGUGCAGCAGCUGCUGCGGGCCGCCGAACGCGAGAUGCUGGCCGAGAACAGAAAACGCCAGCAGUCGGAGCUAAGCGGCUCCGGGGACGACUCGUCCAGCGAGACGGGCAAGAAGCGCCGCCUGGCCCGGCCCGGCGAGGACCUCUACCAGUGCGACCAGUGCGACAAGGCCUUCAACAAGCAGAGCUCGCUGGCCAGGCACAAAUACGAACAUUCCGGUAUGAGGCCGUACAAAUGCGAGGACUGCCCUAAGGCGUUCAAGCACAAGCACCAUCUGUCCGAGCACAAGCGGCUGCACAGCGGCGAGAAGCCCUAUCAGUGCAAAAAGUGUCUCAAGAGGUUCUCGCACUCGGGCUCCUACAGCCAACACAUCAACCACCGGUACGCCUACUGCAAACCGUACCGGGAGUAGACCAAUGAGAGGAGCCGGCCGCCGGUGGUAGCCAAUCAGCGUCCAGCUGGCUGGCAGGUCCGCCGGCGCCGGCGGCUUAUUCCAUAAUGACAGCGUCAACUCGUCGAGAUGCGGUGGUUUUAUCGAAAUUACAACGACAUAAUAAUUGUUACGAUGCAAUAAGGAUUUCUCGUGCGUCUCUGGUUACUGACUUAAUGCUAAGUGGACUGUGAUGGCCGAGGUCUAAGAUAUAAAAUCCUCACCUGUGCCAAAACUCCAUAGCGUAUUAUUUUUUGACCGUCAGUUCUAUUGUGUCAUAGCGAGUAUUGUCGUUAGCUGCGUGUGCGUGUGUACAUUUUAUGUAGAUAGUCAUAUAGUCUGUGAGUUCUUCAGCUGUGCCAAAUGACUUAGACGAUUAGCUUUAGUCCAGUUAGCCAUGGCAGGCCGUGCCAUAGGUCAUGGCCAUUUGACAAUCGCUUGACGUGGCAGCCGAGCCGUGUCUUAUUCGAGUGCACUUGCCGUGUGCUAUGGUGCGAUGCAUCAGGUCUGAUGCAAGGAGUACCUGGUCAAAUACUCAUACGGGCGCGCCGGGGCGCCGGUGCCCCGACCGGGGCGUCCCGGCCGCUGCCGCUGGUGUACUCAUUAACUGCUAGUCAUCGAGGUGCCAAGCUUCGGUCGCGUUACUCAGCCAAGAUAUUGUAUUUGUGCGUGUGUGCGAUGUGUGCGUGUGUUUGUUGUGUCAAUAGCGGCCCGUUUAUUAUAACUCAGGUGGUGGUCGCCACGCUCUCGGUUCAGUUCCGGCGGCGCUGCGCCGGUCGGUGCCUUGGCCCGGCGCCGCCUGCUGCCGCUUCCUGCGCGCCGCGCCGACGGGUGCAACGGAUAGUGCUUCCAUACACAGUGUCGGGCCGCGGCGCGCCGCCGCCGCCAGGUGCCAACGAUAGCCGUGCCAGUAGCCGCGUGGGCAGCCGUGUGUGAUUAGCCGACCUCAGAUGGGCCAGUGGGCGCGCUCCGCCGCCCGCCACCGUACAACAAACAUGCAUUCCAGCCCGGCGUCAGGCGCUCCAUGCUCGUUUAUUUUCAUACAGGCCAAAUUUACUGGAAGGCGUCGCCUAGUUUGUCUUUCAGUGUCUGCCAUUCCGGUCGGCGGUCGCGGCGGCCGCCCGCGGCACGCCGUGUGCCUCUGCCCAGCCAGGUUCGCUGCGCAGCGCCCAGUCGAAUAAUCGCGAGCUUCCAAACGUUUUGUCUUCGGUGUUUAGCUGUAGCGUCGCCGCGCUCGGCUCACGCCGGCGCCAGGUUCUUACAACGAACGCGUCAUGUAUAUUUGAUAACGCGACCGGUGCCACAUUUUAUGAGUUUGUCUCGUUAGUGCGCGAGCGGGUACGUCGGAGGAUGUCAGUGUCGUGCCAGCAUAAUGGGUCUCCUCUGUGUGUAGCAAUACCGGGCGGUCGCUGCGCGUCCGCCCGCCGGGUCCCCUCUCCACUGUACAGUCGGUGUCUCCCCCGCCCUCCCUCCCUUCCUCUUCUACCUAGAUAUAUCUACCUAGAUCCUCGUCGCUGUUGUGCAAUAAGCCCGUCUCUGCUCCUCCCUGCCCCGCCCUCCCCUCUGCCCCUCUCGCCGUGCCACCGCCGGCACUCUGUCUCCCCCGCUCCGCCCCCUCUCCCCCUCUGUCUGAAUCGGCCCGCUGCCGGCGACCGCCGUCCGAUGAACAGGUCUGUCUUGGUACUCAAUAAAACCGCAUGACGCCA
rnacentral:misc_RNA from 1 species